rnacentral:rRNA from 1 species
UACGUAGGGGGCAAGCGUUGUCCGGAAUCAUUGGGCGUAAAGCGCGUGUAGGCGGCCAGAAAAGUCCGCUGUGAAAACUCGAGGCUCAACUUCGAGCUGUCGGUGGAAACUUUCUGGCUAGAGUCCGGAAGAGGAGAAUGGAAUUCCUGGUGUAGCGGUGAAAUGCGCAGAUAUCAGGAAGAGCACCCGUGGCGAAGGCGGUUCUCUGGGACGGUACUGACGCUGAGACGCGAAAGCGUGGGGAGCGAACAGG